UACGUAGGGUCCGAGCGUUGUCCGGAAUUAUUGGGCGUAAAGGGCUCGUAGGCGGUUUGUCGCGUCGGGAGUGAAAUCACCGGGCUUAACUCGGUGCUUGCUUUCGAUACGGGCAGACUGGAGGCAUGCAGGGGAGAACGGAAUUCCUGGUGUAGCGGUGAAAUGCGCAGAUAUCAGGAGGAACACCGGUGGCGAAGGCGGUUCUCUGGGCAUGUCCUGACGCUGAGGAGCGAAAGUGUGGGGAGCGAACAGG
rnacentral:rRNA from 1 species